rnacentral:lncRNA from 1 species
UCGAAUGUCACAUCUUUACUAUAUAAUAGGAGUUCUGUACAAAAUAAAUAAUUACAUUAUAAGGAGACAACGGUCCAGCAAACCAAAGUUGACUGGGAGACGACGACCUAGACCUCUCACGAACACAUCACAGCAUCCUCCACGCGCCUCAUCCUGUGGUACCUGUUCUUGACCUGUGGGGGGUGUGAGACAGCAAGAGUGAGCUCACAUACGUUCAUCGUUCAACAAGUUGUGGGGAAUAAUGUGCAUGAACUCGCCAAAGGUGGGAGCUCACGUGAAGUGUAAGGCUUACCAAAGAGGAUGGUUAGAGCUGAGCAUUGCUUUUAAAGUUGGUCAAAAUUUUAGUAGCAAUUACUAAGUAUAAGUAAAUACCAACCCAAUUAAGUAGUAGAACAAAAGUAACAUCAUCACCUGCGAUGCAAUGCAUAUGACAAAUUGAAUUUAGUUCCAUAAUUUAAUCAUCAGAGAGUCCUGAGCUGCUCAUGACCGUGAGCUCGGCUAGUAUACCAGUUUUACACUCUGCAGAGGUGGUACCCUUUACCCACAAGUCAUGUUACCCAUCUGCCAAGGGAUCGCGACUUCCCAUACACCUCUACCGAGGAGGCGAGGCAGGGUAACACUAUGAGGCCUUUACAAAGUUCCACUAGCUUCAGAAAACCCGCUACAGUUUAUAGGAAGCUCCAAUGCAGGAAUCCCUUGCAGGACCGCCAUCGCAGCAAAAUCCUCCCGAGGGCCUCCCUACACUGACCACUCCCCUACUGCCCUUGCCCCUUUCGGGUAAGGUAGUCCUCCACUAGCUUUCCUAAUUAAUCAGCCAAGGGCGUCCAUAAACCCUUGUGGCGGCACGUGUUUCUCAAGUUAAGCUCUAUGUUCCAAUUAACAUUUAAUGAUCUUGUCAUGAACAUAAAUAACAACAUAAUUGGAACAUAGAUAUAAUGAAGUAUUAACCCAAAACCAUAUAAAGCAGUAGCAGAACUACCCAAGUGAUUCAGGGGUAAACAAGGUAUUCAGGAUAAACAAACUAGGGUGACCUAUUGGGUCCCAUCAAAAUUAAACCUAUGCAUUGAAUAGUGAUAAUAACGAAUAUUAUUGGGUAACAGAAGUGAUCAAGGGCACAACUUGCCUGGCAAUUAAGAUUCCAGGUACCAACUUGCUUUUCAGAUGACACGUGUCCCCGCGCUAGUCGUAGCAAUACAAACAAACAUGGUAUAGAUAAAAUUAACAUCAUACCAAACAUAAGAACAAACUGAAUAAUAAUAAUCUACACGUCGCUAUGAGAUCGCGGGAUCGAGAACUACUAGGAUCGGAGUUAUGGUUAUAGAGUUAUGAUUUCUCAUGUGAUUAAAUAUUAAAUUAUAGUAUAAAUUGAUUAGUGUACACCAUAUUGAGAGAAUAUUUUAUAAGUAAUUAACUAAACUUUAAUCUAGAUUAUAACUUGAUUAGGAAUCUGAAAGGGAAUUAGGCUUAUACCUAGUUCCUAAAUAAUUUUGGUGGUUGAAUUGCCCAACACAAAUCUUUGGACUAACUAGUUUGCCCAAGUGUAUAGAAUAUACAGGUGUAAGAGGUUCACACUCAGCCAAUAAAAAGACCAAGCUUUGGAUUCAACAAAGGAGCAACGAGGCAACCAAAGGCACCUCUGGCUGAAGGCACCGGACUGUCCGGUGUGCACCGGACAGUGUCCGGUGCGCCCUGAGGACUCCAACUCAAACUCUUCGCCCUCGGUAAUUCUCGGAAGCCGGCGCGCUAUAAUUCACCGGACUGUCCGGUGUGCACCGGACAUGUCCGGUGCUCCAAGGAAGCGCGGUCUCCGGAACUCGUCAGCCUCGGGUUCGCGCGGCAGCCGCUCCGCUAAAAUUCACCGGACUGUCCGGUGUGCCAGCGGAGCAACGGCUCCCUGCGGUGCAUUUAAUGCACGCGCAGCGCGCACAGACGUCAGACAUGCCCAUACCGGUGCACCGGACAUCAAACAGUACAUGUCCGGUGUGCACCGGACACCCAGGCGGGCCCACAAGUCAGAAGCUCCAACGGUCAGAAUCCAACGGCAGUGGUGACGUGGCAGGGGGCACCGGACUGUCCGGUGUGCACCGGACUGUCCGGUGUGCACCGGACUGUCCGGUGCGCCAUCGAACAGACAGGAUUCCCAACGGCCACAUUUGGUGGUUGGGGCUAUAAAUACCCCAACCACCCCACCAUUCAUUGCAUCCAAGUUUUCCCACUUCUCAACCACUUACAAGAGCUAGGCAUUCAAUUCUAGACACAUUCAAAGAGAUCAAAUCCUCUCCAAUUCCACACAAAACCCUAGUGACUAGUGAGAGUGAUUUGCCGUGUUCAUUUGAGCUCUUGCGCUUGGAUUGCUUCUUUUCUUUCUCACUUGUUCUUGAGAUCACAACUCCAUUGUAAUCAAGGCAAGAGGCACCAAUUGUGUGGUGGCCCUUGCGGGGAAGUUUUGUUCCCGGCUUUGAUUUGAGAAGAGAAGCUCAUUCGGUCCAAGGGACCGUUUGAGAGAGGGAAGGGUUGAAAGAGACCCGGCCUUUGUGGCCUCCUCAACGGGGAGUAGGUUUGCAAGAACCGAACCUCGGUAAAACAAAUCUCCGUGUCUCACUCGCUUAUUCGCUUAGGAUUUGUUUUGCACCCUCUCUCUCGGACUCGUUUAUAUUUCUAACGCUAACCCGGCUUGUAGUUGUGUUUAUAUUUGUAAAUUUCAGUUUCGCCCUAUUCACCCCCCCCCCCUCUAGGCGACUAUCAAUUGGUAUCAGAGCCCGGUGCUUCAUUAGAGCCUAACCGCUCGAAGUGAUGUCAGGAGAUCACGCCAAGAAGGAGAUGGAGACCGGCGAAAAGCCCACUACAAGCCAAGGGAGCACUUCAUCGGAAGAGUCCCACACCAAGAGGAAGGAGAAGAAGAAGGACUCCUCCAAACGGAAGGAGAAAAAGUCUUCCUCUUCUCACCACAAAGAGAAGAAGGAAAAAUCUUCCUCUCACAAGCCGCAUCGGAGAGGGGACAAGCACAAAAGAAUGAGGAAGGUGGUCUACUACGAGACCGACACUUCAUCAACAUCAACCUCCGACUCCGACGCGCCCUCCGUCACUUCUAAGCGCCAAGAGCGCAAGAAGUAUAGUAAGAUUCCCCUACGCUACCCUCGCAAUUCCAAACAUACUCCUUUACUUUCCGUCCCAUUAGGCAAACCACCAACUUUUGAUGGUGAAGAUUACGCUAGGUGGAGCGAUUUAAUGCGAUUUCAUCUAAUCUCGCUCCACAAAAGUAUAUGGGAUGUUGUUGAGUUUGGUGCAUAGGUACCGUCGGUAGGGGAUGAGAACUAUGAUGAGGAUGAGGUGGCCCAAAUCGAGCACUUCAACUCACAAGCAACGACAAUACUCCUCGCCUCUCUAAGUAGAGAGGAGUAUAACAAAGUACAAGGGUUGAAGAGCGCUAAGGAGAUUUGGGAUGUGCUCAAAACCGCGCACGAAGGAGAUGAGCUCACCAAGAUCACCAAGCGGGAAACGAUCGAGGGGGAGCUCGGUCGGUUCCGGCUUCGCAAAGGGGAGGAGCCACAACACAUGUACAACCGGCUCAAGACUUUGGUGAACCAAGUGCGCAACCUCGGGAGCAAGAAGUGGGAUGACCACGAAGUGGUAAAUGUUAUUUUAAGAUCUCUCAUUUUUCUUAAUCCUACUCAAGUUCAAUUAAUUCGUGGUAAUCCUAGAUAUACUAAAAUGACCCCCGAGGAAGUUAUCGGGCAUUUUGUAAGUUUUGAGUGCAUGAUAGAAGGCUCGAGGAAAAUCAACGAGCUUGGCGACUCAUCCGAAGCCCAACCCGUUGCAUUCAAGGCAACGGAGGAGAAGAAGGAGGAGUCUACACCAAGUCGACAACCAAUAGACGCCUCCAAGCUUGACAAUGAGGAGAUGGCGCUCGUCAUCAAGAGCUUCCGCCAAAUCCUCAAACAAAGGAGGGGGAAAGACUACAAGUCCCGCUCCAAGAAGGUUUGCUACAAAUGUGGUAAGCCCGGUCAUUUUAUUGCUAAAUGUCCUAUAUCUAGUGACAGUGAUCGAGGCGACGACAAGAAGGGGAGAAGAAAGGAGAAGAAAAGGUACUACAAGAAGAAGGGCGGCGAUGCCCAUGUUUGUCGGGAAUGGGAUUCCGACGAGAGCUCAAGCGACUCCUCCGACGACGAGGACGCCGCCAACAUCGCCGUCACCAAGGGACUUCUCUUCCCCAACGUCGGCCACAAGUGCCUCAUGGCAAAGGACGGUAAAAAGAAGAAGGUUAAAUCCAACUCCUCCACUAAAUAUGAAUCGUCUAGUGAUGAUAAUGCUAGUGAUGAGGAGGAUAAUUUGCGUAUUCUCUUUGCCAAUCUUAACAUGGAGCAAAAAGAAAAACUAAAUGAAUUGAUUAGUGCUAUUCAUGAAAAGGAUGACCUUUUGGACUCCCAAGAGGAUUGUCUAAUUAAAGAAAACAAGAAACAUGUUAAGGUUAAAAAGGCUUAUGCUCUAGAAGUAGAAAAAUGUGAAAAAUUGUCUAGUGAGCUAAGCACAUGCCGUGAGAUUAUUGACAACCUUAGGAAUGAAAAUGCUAGUUUAAAUGCUAAGGUUGAUUCUCAUGUUUGUAAUGUUUCAAUUCCCAAUCUUAGAGAUGAUAAUGUUGAUUUGCUUGCUAAGAUUGAUGAUUUGAAUAUAUCUCUUGCUAGCCUUAGAGUAGAAAAUGAAAAAUUGAUUACUAAGGCUAAAGAACUAGACGUUUGCAAUGUUACAAUUUCCGACCUUAGAACUAAAAAUGAUAUGUUGCAUGCUAAGGUUGUAGAAUUAAAAUCUUGCAAACCCUCUACAUCUAUUGUUGAGCAUGUAUCUAUUUGUACUAGAUGUAGAGAUAUUGAUGUUAAUGCUAUUCAUGAUCACAUGAUCUUAAUUAAGCAACAAAAUGAUCAUAUAGCUAAACUUGAUGCUAUAAUUGCCGAGCACAACUUAGAAAAUGAGAAAUUUAAAUUUGCUCGUAGCAUGCUCUAUAAUGGGAGACGCCCUGGCAUCAAGGAUGGCAUUGGCUUCCAAAGGGGAGACAAUGUCAAACUUAAUGCUCCUCCUAAGAACUUGUCUAACUUUGUUAAGGGCAAGGCUCCCAUGCCUCAGGAUAACGAGGGCUACAUUUUGUACCCUGCCGGCUAUCCUGAGAGCAAAAUUAGGAGAAUUCAUUCUAGGAAGUCUCACUCUGGCCCUAAUCAUGCUUUUAUGUAUAAGGGUGAGACAUCUAGCUCUAGGCAACCAACCCGUGCCAAGUUGCCUAGAAAGAAAACUCCUAAUGCAUCAAAUGAUCAUGCCAUUUCAUUUAAAACUUUUGAUGCUUCUUAUGUGCUUACUAACAAAUCCGGCAAAGUGGUUGCCAAGUUUGUUGGGGGCAAACACAAGGGUUCCAAGACUUGUGUUUGGGUACCCAAAGUUCUUGUGUCUAAUGCCAAAGGACCCAAAACCGUUUGGGUACCUAAAGUCAAGAACUAAAAUUGUUUUGUAGGUUUAUGCAUCCGGGGGCUCAAGUUGGAUACUCGACAGCGGGUGCACAAACCAUAUGACCGGGGAGAAAAGGAUGUUCUCCUCAUAUGAGAAAAACCAAGAUCCCCAACGAGCUAUCACAUUCGGGGAUGGAAAUCAAGGUUUGGUCAAAGGACUUGGUAAAAUUGCUAUAUCUCCUGACCAUUCUAUUUCCAAUGUUUUUCUUGUUGAUUCUUUAGAUUACAACUUGCUUUCUGUUUCCCAAUUAUGUCAAAUGGGCUACAACUGUCUUUUUACUGAUGUAGGUGUCACUGUCUUUAGAAGAAGUGAUGAUUAAAUAGCAUUUAAGGGUGUGUUAGAGGGUCAGCUAUACUUAGUAGAUUUUGAUAGAGCUGAACUUGACACAUGCUUAAUUGCUAAGACUAACAUGGGUUGGCUCUGGCACCGCCGACUAGCCCAUGUUGGGAUGAAGAAUCUUCAUAAGCUUCUAAAGGGAGAGCACAUUUUAGGAUUAACAAAUGUUCAUUUUGAGAAAGACAGGAUUUGUAGCGCAUGUCAGGCAGGGAAGCAAGUUGGAGUCCAUCAUCCACACAAGAACAUCAUGACGACCGACAGGCCGCUUGAGCUACUCCACAUGGAUCUAUUCGGCCCGAUUGCUUACAUAAGCAUCGGCGGGAGUAAGUAUUGUCUUGUUAUUGUGGAUGAUUAUUCUCGCUUCACUUGGGUAUUCUUUUUACAGGAAAAAUCUCAAACCCAAGAGACCUUAAAGGGAUUCUUGAGACGGGCUCAAAAUGAGUUCGGCUUAAGGAUCAAGAAAAUAAGAAGCGACAACGGAACGGAGUUCAAGAACUCUCAAAUCGAAGGCUUCCUUGAGGAGGAGGGCAUCAAGCAUGAGUUCUCUUCUCCCUACACGCCACAACAAAAUGGUGUAGUGGAGAGGAAGAAUAGAACUCUAUUGGACAUGGCAAGGACCAUGCUUGAUGAGUAUAAGACUUCGGAUCGGUUUUGGGCCGAGGCAGUCAACACCGCUUGCUACGCCAUCAACCGGUUAUAUCUACACCGAAUCCUCAAGAAGACAUCAUAUGAACUCCUAACCGGUAAAAAGCCCAACAUUUCAUAUUUUAGAGUUUUUGGUAGCAAAUGCUUUAUUCUUGUCAAAAGAGGUAGAAAAUCUAAAUUUGCUCCUAAAACUGUAGAAGGCUUUUUACUUGGUUAUGACUCAAACACAAGGGCAUAUAGGGUCUUUAACAAGUCCACUGGACUAGUUGAAGUCUCAUGUGACGUUGUGUUUGAUGAAACUAACGGCUCUCAAGUAGAGCAAGUUGAUCUUGAUGAGAUAGGUGAAGAACAGGCUCCGUGCAUCGUGCUAAGGAACAUGUCCAUUGGGGAUGUAUGUCCUAAGGAAUCCGAAGAGCCUCCAAAAGCACAAGAUCAACCAUCCUCCUCCAUACAAGCAUCUCCACCAACACAAAAUGAGGAUGAAGCUCAAGUUGAUGAAGAAGAAGAUCAAUCAAAUGAGCCACCUCAAGAUGACGGCAACGAUCAAGGGGGAGAUGCAAAUGAUCAAGAUAAGGAGGAUGAAGAGCAAAGACCGCCACACCCAAGAGUCCACCAAGCAAUCCAACGAGAUCACCCCGUCGACACCAUCCUCGGCGACAUUCAUAAGGGGGUAACCACUCGAUCUCGUGUUGCACAUUUUUGUGAACAUUACUCUUUUGUUUCCUCUAUUGAGCCACACAGGAUAGAGGAAGCACUUCAAGAUUCGGAUUGGGUGGUGGCAAUGCAAGAGGAGCUUAACAAUUUCACGAGGAAUGAGGUAUGGCAUUUAGUUCCACGUCCUAACCAAAAUGUUGUAGGAACCAAAUGGGUCUUCCGCAACAAGCAAGAUGAGCAUGGUGUGGUGACAAGGAACAAAGCUCGACUCGUGGCCAAAGGGUAUUCACAAGUCGAAGGUUUGGAUUUCGGUGAAACCUAUGCACCCGUAGCUAGGCUUGAGUCAAUUCGCAUAUUAUUGGCCUAUGCUACUUACCAUGGCUUUAAGCUUUAUCAAAUGGACGUGAAAAGUGCCUUCCUCAAUGGACCGAUCAAGGAAGAGGUCUAUGUUGAGCAACCUCCCGGCUUUGAAGACAGUGAGUAUCCUAAUCAUGUCUAUAGGCUCUCUAAGGCGCUUUAUGGGCUCAAGCAAGCCCCAAGAGCAUGGUAUGAAUGCCUAAGAGAUUUCCUUAUUUCUAAUGGCUUCAAAGUCGGCAAGGCCGAUCCUACACUCUUUACUAAAACUCUUGAAAAUGACUUGUUUGUAUGCCAAAUUUAUGUUGAUGAUAUUAUAUUUGGGUCUACUAACGAGUCUACAUGUGAAGAGUUUAGUAGGAUCAUGACACAGAAAUUCGAGAUGUCGAUGAUGGGGGAGUUGAAGUAUUUUCUAGGAUUCCAAGUCAAGCAACUCCAAGAGGGCACCUUCAUUUGCCAAACGAAGUACACUCGAGACAUUCUAACCAAGUUUGGAAUGAAGGAUGCCAAGCCCAUCAAGACACCCAUGGGAACCAAUGGGCAUCUCGACCUCGACACGGGAGGUAAAUCCGUGGAUCAAAAGGUAUACCGGUCGAUGAUAGGUUCUUUACUCUACUUAUGUGCAUCUCGACCGGAUAUUAUGCUUUCCGUAUGCAUGUGUGCAAGAUUCCAAGCCGACCCUAAGGAAGCUCACCUUACGGCCGUAAAACGAAUCUUGAGAUAUUUGGCUUAUACUCCUAAGUUUGGGCUUUGGUAUCCUAGGGGAUCCACAUUUGAUUUGAUUGGUUACUCGGAUGCCGAUUGGGCGGGGUGUAAAAUUAAUAGGAAGAGCACAUCGGGGACUUGCCAGUUCUUGGGAAGAUCCUUGGUGUCUUGGGCUUCAAAGAAGCAAAAUUCGGUCGCUCUUUCCACCGCCGAAGCCGAGUACAUUGCCGCAGGCCAUUGUUGCGCGCAAUUGCUUUGGAUGAGGCAAACCCUGCGGGACUACGGUUACAAAUUAACCAAAGUCCCUUUGCUAUGUGAUAAUGAGAGUGCAAUCAAAAUGGCCGACAAUCCCGUCGAGCAUAGCCGCACUAAACACAUAGCCAUCCGGUAUCAUUUUCUUAGGGAUCACCAACAAAAGGGAGAUAUCGAGAUUUCUUACAUUAACACUAAAGAUCAAUUAGCCGAUAUCUUUACCAAGCCUCUUGAUGAACAAUCUUUUAACAAACUUAGGCAUGAGCUCAAUAUUCUUGAUUCUAGGAACUUCUUUUGUUAAAGUUGCACACAUUGCUCUUUUAUAUAUCUUUGAUCAUGUCUCUUUUAUAUGCUAUGACUAAUGUGUUGUCAAGUCUAUUUCAAAUCAAGUCAUAGGUAUAUUGAAAGGGAAUUGGAGUCUUCGGCGAAGACAAAAAGGCUUCCACUCCGUAACUCAUCCAUCGCCGUCUCUCCAAGCUAUUCUCCAUUCUAGGGGGAGAAAACAUGAGCACCAAGCAAAAGGAACUUCAUCUUUGGUAUAAUCUAAACUCAUUUAUUUAUGACCAAAGGGGAAGAUAGCCUUAAAGGGCUCUAAUGAUUCCGUUUUUGGCGAUUCAUGCCAAAAAGGGGGAGGAAUGAGCCCAAAGCAAAAGGACCGCACCACCACUACCAAAUUCAAAACUUAGUGUUUUUCAAAAGUAUUUAUCAAUUGAUAUCCUAUCAUGAGGGGAGAAAGUAGUAUUUCAAAAUGAUACAUCAAAACCCUCUUGAACACUAAGAGGAGGAUCUCGUUUAGGGGGAGUUUUGUUUAGUCAAAGGAGAAGCAGGGGGAGAAAAUUUCAAAUCUUGAAAAUGCUUUGCAAAAUCUUAUUUAUUCAUCUUUGACUACCUGCAAAAGAACUUUGAAAAGGAUUUACAAAAGAGUUUGCAAAAACAAAACUCGUGGUGCAAGCGUGGUCCAAAAUGUUAUAUAAGAAAGGAACAUUCCAUGCAUAUCUCGUAAGUAGUUUUAUUGGCUAAAUUCCAAGCAACCUUUACACUUAUAUCAUGCAAACUAGUUCAAUUAUGCACUUCUAUAUUUGCUUUGGUUUGUGUUGGCAUCAAUCACCAAAAAGGGGGAGAUUGAAAGGGAAUUAGGCUUAUACCUAGUUCCUAAAUAAUUUUGGUGGUUGAAUUGCCCAACACAAAUCUUUGGACUAACUAGUUUGCCCAAGUGUAUAGAAUAUACAGGUGUAAGAGGUUCACACUCAGCCAAUAAAAAGACCAAGCUUUGGAUUCAACAAAGGAGCAACGAGGCAACCAAAGGCACCUCUGGCUGAAGGCACCGGACUGUCCGGUGUGCACCGGACAGUGUCCGGUGCGCCCUGAGGACUCCAACUCAAACUCUUCGCCCUCGGUAAUUCUCGGAAGCCGGCGCGCUAUAAUUCACCGGACUGUCCGGUGUGCACCGGACAUGUCCGGUGCUCCAAGGAAGCGCGGUCUCCGGAACUCGUCAGCCUCGGGUUCGCGCGGCAGCCGCUCCGCUAAAAUUCAUCGGACUGUCCGGUGUGCACCGGACUGUCCGGUGUGCCAGCGGAGCAACGGCUCCCUGCGGCGCCAACGGCUCCCUGCGGUGCAUUUAAUGCGCGCGCAGCGCGCACAGACGUCAGACAUGCCCAUACCGGUGCACCGGACAUCAAACAGUACAUGUCCGGUGUGCACCGGACACCCAGGCGGGCCCACAAGUCAGAAGCUCCAACGGUCAGAAUCCAACGGCAGUGGUGACGUGGCAGGGGGCACCGGACUGUCCGGUGUGCACCGGACUGUCCGGUGCGCCAUCGAACAGACAGGAUUCCCAACGGCCACAUUUGGUGGUUGGGGCUAUAAAUACCCCAACCACCCCACCAUUCAUUGCAUCCAAGUUUUCCCACUUCUCAACCACUUACAAGAGCUAGGCAUUCAAUUCUAGACACAUUCAAAGAGAUCAAAUCCUCUCCAAUUCCACACAAAACCCUAGUGACUAGUGAGAGUGAUUUGCCGUGUUCAUUUGAGCUCUUGUGCUUGGAUUGCUUCUUUUCUUUCUCACUUGUUCUUGAGAUCACAACUCCAUUGUAAUCAAGGCAAGAGGCACCAAUUGUGUGGUGGCCCUUGCGGGGAAGUUUUGUUCCCGGCUUUGAUUUGAGAAGAGAAGCUCAUUCGGUCCAAGGGACCGUUUGAGAGAGGGAAGGGUUGAAAGAGACCCGGCCUUUGUGGCCUCCUCAACGGGGAGUAGGUUUGCAAGAACCGAACCUCGGUAAAACAAAUCUCCGUGUCUCACUCGCUUAUUCGCUUAGGAUUUGUUUUGCACCCUCUCUCUCGGACUCGUUUAUAUUUCUAACGCUAACCCGGCUUGUAGUUGUGUUUAUAUUUGUAAAUUUCAGUUUCGCCCUAUUCACCCCCCCCCCUCUAGGCGACUAUCAGAAUCAUAUUAUAGUUGAAUCACUAUCAUGGUCUAGUUUAAUUUUGGUUAAAAGGCAAAUAGGCUAAACAAAUAUUUAAUUAUAAAAAUAUGUUCUAUGGUAAAAUUAAUAUUGCCGCUGGGUAUACAAUAUUUUUAUGAAGCUAACUCAAUUUGAAUGAAUCAAAUCGGAGUUAAAAUGAAUAAGUUAUGGAAUAAACAAGGUUCUAUGUAUUUUUAAUACUUAUUUUAUGAAUUUCUGGGAUUUAUGGAUUGCGGAUGCGAAUACCAGAGAGCUCGGGGUUAUUUCUAUAAAUUCUAGGACCCAACCGUAAUUACUUUAUACUAGGAUAGGACGACGGGUUAUUUACGUGUAAGACGAGGGGUUCUUUAGUAAAACGGUCGCCGCGAAGGGGUAUCUACCUACUAGAGCCGUCAGAUCACAUCUGAACGACCAGGAUUACAUCUUGCUACAUUAGAAUCGGCGUGGAUCCCGAACCGUCCAUUCCCGAUCCCCCGCCUCGGAUUUAAUGAGGCCACGACCCGACUCUGAUCAUCGAUUUAUAAACGGACGGCCACGAUCUACUUAACCGAAAAGGUAUCUACGUUUUUAAUCCCAGCCGUCCGCACAGAUCUAACGGUCAGAGGCUUUCCCCCGUAUUCCCUAACGCGGAGCACGGCGGCGCCCGGAGCCGUAACGGCGGCGGCAUCGCCGGACUCGGCCACGCGUGAUUCCGGCCACAAGGGCUUAAUCCAAACGUAUCUACACGUUGCGGGGGCAAAACUGAAGUCGAUUAGGGUGUUCAUACUCACUAUAGUCGUGUCGGUGUUGCUGCCCACGACGCCCGGCGGCCCCGCCGUAGAUCCGCGAUUCUGGUGAGCAAUCGCCGGCCACGAGAGCUUUCUUUUCCCCCGAGAAAGUGGCUGACGGCUCCCCGUAGACACGACGAAGCGAUUCAGGGGUCGUACCGGCGUUUGGGGAGAUAGCAGAGGUCAACGACGGCGCACGCAGGGGCGGGCAUAGCGGUGACCCAUUGCUCCACCGGCCAGAUGACUCCGCGGCAAAACGACGACGCUGAUGAUUUUGUGGUAUGGUGGCUCUCUCUCUGGUCGGCAAUGGCGGUGCUCGUACCUGUUGGUCAUCC